rnacentral:rRNA from 1 species
GACGAACGCUGGCGGCGUGCUUAACACAUGCAAGUCGAGCGGUAAGGCCCUUUCGGGGGUACACGAGCGGCGAACGGGUGAGUAACACGUGGGUGACCUGCCCUCAGCUCUGGGAUAAGCCUGGGAAACCGGGUCUAAUACCGGAUAUGACUCCAUGACGCAUGUUGUGGGGUGGAAAGCCUUGUGCGGCUGAGGAUGGGCCCGCGGCCUAUCAGCUUGUUGGUGGGGUGAUGGCCUACCAAGGCGACGACGGGUAGCCGGCCUGAGAGGGCGACCGGCCACACUGGGACUGAGAUACGGCCCAGACUCCUACGGGAGGCAGCAGUGGGGAAUAUUGGACAAUGGGCGCAAGCCUGAUCCAGCAAUGCCGCGUGAGUGAAGAAGGCCUUAGGGUUGUAAAGCUCUUUCGGCGGGGACGAUGAUGACGGUACCCGCAGAAGAAG